UGGCUUAGUCAGUAGAGCAUGGGACUCUUAAUCUCAGGGUUGUGAGUUAAAGCCCCAC
rnacentral:tRNA from 1 species